GCACCGGUAGUGCAAUGGUCAGCACGCGCCCCUGCAAAGGGUGAAGUGCGGGUUCGAUUCUCGUUCGACGUC